rnacentral:misc_RNA from 1 species
GAUGAAGAACGUAGCGAAAUGCGAUAAGUAGUGUGAAUUGCAGAAUUCAGUGAAUCAUCGAAUCUUUGAACGCACAUUGCGCCCCUUGGUAUCCCGAGGGGCAUGCCUGUUCGAGCGUCAUUUCACCACUCAAGCCUGGCUUGGUGUUGGGCGACGUCCCCUUUGGGGACGCGCCUCGAAACGCUCGGCGGUGUGGCACCGGCUUUAAGCGUAGCAGAAUCUUUCGCUUUGGAAGUCGGGGCCCCGUCUGCCGGAAGACCUACUCGCAAGGUUGACCUCGGAUCAGGCAGGGAUACCCGCUGAACUUAAGCAUAUCAAUAAGCGGAGGA